rnacentral:misc_RNA from 1 species
GGAAGUCGUCGUGGCCUAAAGCAUAAGAGGUCCGGUGCAUUCGUAUCCAGCGAUGCACCGGUGUUCGAAUCCCGCAGCGGUACCGAUUUUUCUAAUGAAAUACGUACUUAACAAAUGUUCAUGAUUGACUUCCACGGUGAAGGAAUAACACCGUGUAAUAAAAAUCAAAACCCGCAAAAUUAUAAUGUGCGUAAUUACUGGUGGUAGAACCUCUUGUGAAUCCGCGCGGGUAGGUACCACCACCACGCCUAUUUCUGCCGUGAAGCAGUAAUGCGUUUCGGUUUGAAAGGUGGGGCAGCCGCUGUAACUAUACUGCGACCCUAGAACUUAUAUCUCAAGGUGGGUGGCUCUUUUAUUGU